AGAGUUUGAUCCUGGCUCAGAACGAACGCUGGCGGCAGGCCUAACACAUGCAAGUCGAACGAAGUCUUCGGACUUAGUGGCGCACGGGUGAGUAACACGUGGGAAUAUACCCUACGCUGGGGGAUAACAUCGGGAAACUGAUGCUAAUACCGCAUACGCCCUUCGGGGGAAAGAUUUAUCGGCGAAAGAUUAGCCCGCGUCCGAUUAGCUAGUUGGUGAGGUAAUGGCUCACCAAGGCUCCGAUCGGUAGCUGGUCUGAGAGGAUGACCAGCCACACUGGGACUGAGACACGGCCCAGACUCCUACGGGAGGCAGCAGUGGGGAAUAUUGGACAAUGGGGGCAACCCUGAUCCAGCCAUGCCGCGUGAGUGAUGAAGGCCUUAGGGUUGUAAAGCUCUUUCACCCACGACGAUGAUGACGGUAGUGGGAGAAGAAGCCCCGGCUAACUUCGUGCCAGCAGCCGCGGUAAUACGAAGGGGGCUAGCGUUGUUCGGAAUUACUGGGCGUAAAGCGCACGCAGGCGGUUCGGUCAGUCAGAAGUGAAAGCCCCGGGCUUAACCUGGGAACUGCUUUUGAUACUGCCGAGCUUGAAUCACGGAGAGGGUAGUGGAAUUCCGAGUGUAGAGGUGAAAUU
rnacentral:rRNA from 1 species